GCCGACUCUUCGUAACCGCCGCCCACGUACGAACUCCCUCUCCCCACAUCGACGCCCUCCCACUAGGCUUGCCGUUGUCAUGCCCUUCACCACCGCGUCCUCAUGCCUCGAGGCCAUCCCCAACAUCGUCGUGCGCGUCGAGCUCCUCUGCUCCGCCCAGAUCUCUUCAACCCUUUCCCUCUCUCCUCUGCUCCGUGUCCUCGUGCCUCAAGGCCAUCUCCAACCUUCCCGACCGUGGUGGCGUUAGGCGAGCAGCACGCAGCGGCAUCUGCCCCUGGCACAACUCAUCCAUCCUCAACCAGGACACGGCGCUCCUCUCCCGAACGAGGUCGAUCCGCUCCUCCUCCUCUCCCGAGGAUACGCAGCCGCCGCCGCCGAUCCGGGCAGACGCUGCCAUCGUGGAUCACGUGAACGCCGCCGCCGACUGCCGCCGCGGACCUCCCAGGGCGCACGAGAUCGCCGCCGCCGACCUCACGGGGGAGGGGCGAGCGAUCUCGCCGCCGCCGACCUCACAGGGAAGACGCCCUCUCAUCUCGCCGCCGCCAACCUCACAUGGAAGACGGAUCUCGUCGCCGCGGAUCUGACAUGACAGGGGAGGACCAACUGGUGAAAUAGCUGCAGAAUUACAGGUACGGUGAUGGAAAUCCUGUGGCACCAUUCCUAUCUUAAGAUGGGAAUUACUCAGUGGACAUCUGGAUGACCGAACGAAACCAAUUCUCUUCUCCAUGGCAAGACUUGACCGAGUUAAAAAUAUGACAAAUUGUGACCAAUUUUUCUGUCUCUGCUCUCUUGCAUUAUUUUCAUAUUCAUAUGUUUAUCUCCAGAUCAAAGCCAGAGUGAAGGCGAAGAUCUGGCGAAGGAGGUAGUAUCCGCCUCUUCGGAGACUUACUCCGCUCCGUCCUGCAACACGUGAAGAGCUAGCUCGGAAGGCUUCCAUUCUUGCAGAGGUUUUCUCCAAUCUUUAAUGUGAAAGUUUGAAGGUCAAUGGGUUUUCCAUAUUAAACUUUCAAACAAACCAUUCAUCGACGUCGUGGGAUUCACCUCCGCCAAUGACCAUCACCACCACGACGCCGCCUACGCGAUGUCGCCUGAGGUGAAUGAGUAGCAGCCCACGACGCAUGCGCGGUGGGUGGCUCAUCCGAGCUGAUGCGCCCACUGCAGCGUUCCCAGCAGCAAGAAGUGUGCCGCGUGCAAGCUUAUGUAGUACUGGAAAGCCUCCACCUAUGAUUGGUUUUAUCAUAAAAACUGGUUAGAUAUCGCCGCUGGCGUGGUCACUUUUCCCCACUACCGAAAGCUCUGCGCCGCUAACAGAACGCCCCACCAGUCUCCACCUCCGUUGGCGCCGUCGAGAGCCUCGACUAUGAGGAGCAGGUCCUUCAGGUUCGGUGUGGCAACUUUUUCGUGAUAACAUUUUGAGAUUUCUCCACCAAUCGGCAAAAUUUGGUGCUUAUAAAUAGAAAAUCAAUACCAAACGGAGUCCAAAUGCCACGAAACUUCAUGGAGAUUUUUUAUGGACCAGAAGACCAAUAGUGGGCCAAAUAAGCACCUGGGGGUGCCCCGAGGGGGGCACAACUAAUCGGGAGCCAGUUCCGGCACCUUGCUGGAGGGGGAAAUCAUCACUGGUGGUCAUCUUCAUUAUUCCGGCGGCCACCACGAUAAGGAGGGAGUAGUCCACCCUCGGUGUUGAGGGUUUGUACCAGUAGCUAUGUGUUUAAUCUCUCUCUCGUGUUCUAUAUCAUGGGCUUUGUUAAUAUAGAUGGAUUAUAUGAUGUUUCUCCCCUCUACUUUUGUUGUGAUUAAUUGAAUCUUUACCCUUUGAAGUUUUGUCUUGUCGGAUUGAAUAUUCAAAUAUGAGAACACAUGAUGUAUGUCUUGCAGUAUGAUUACUUGAGGUAUGAUUACUUGAGGUGAC
rnacentral:rRNA from 1 species